GGAAAGUCGAUUGCAGGAGGAGAUAAGGCAGCAGAGAGAGGCGAUGUAGAGGCAAGAGGAAUGGGCAAGGCAACAACACGAGUACAUGCAAGGUUUUUUCGCUCAACAACGACAGCUUCAGGAAAUGUUAGCGGCUACCUUUGGAUCACAAUUUAAUUUGCCACCUCUUCCUUCACCUCCUCCACCACCGCCGACUUUUGCACCAUACAUCCAUCUACCAUCUCCACAAGUGGGUUCGACGAGUACUCAUCCUCGAAGAGUUUCUGGCAGCCCGUCCACGCUAGCAUCGACAGCGCGUAACAUUUCUGGAGGUGAUGGCAGCAGCGAACAUAAUAUUAC